CAAAUAAAUUAAUUAAUUAUCUUAUACAUACUACCUACAUUAAAGAAUCUAUUAACCUAUAUGAAUUCCCAAUAAUUUUGCCACAUGGCAAGUUUUCCUCCAUCCUCACUAACCCUCUUUUUUUAAUUGAUCUUUAAUUUGGCUUUUCCCCUCCCCUCCCCUCCUCUCUAUUUAAUAACCUAUAAUUAAUGUGCUUUUUAAUAUAUACAUUUACUUUUUAGCCAUUUACUCUUCCUCAAAUAAUUUUUAACAUGCAAAAUUAAAAGAGAAGAAGAUAAAUAGUUACUACAUUCAAAUAUAAAGAUUGGAGAAGAGCAAGAGAGUCCUCCAAGCUUUCGGAUUUAGGGGUAUGUUUGGGAAACGAAAAUCCUAAACCUAUUUUUCUUUUUCUUUAUUUUAAUCGCAAAUUCUUACUAAGUAUCAAUUUAGAAUUAAUUUAUUUACAUUAUUUUUUAUAUAGUGGUUGUAUCAAUCAAGGAUUUAAUUUAUGUGCAUUAUUUCGAUUAAUUUAGAUGUUAGUUUUGAUUUUAUAAUUGAUGUGGUAGUUCUGACCCGCAACUUCUGAUCAUUCCAUAUCUAAAAGAGUACAAAAUCCUGCAAAUUUUUAUGAGAUUUUCAUCACCAUUGUCGUCAUCAUCGCAACAUUAUCAUCUCUAUCUUCAUAUGACCUUUUGUAAGUUUUUUUUUAAUGAUGAUUCUAGACAUUUAUCGAUUUUUAAUGGUCAUAUUGGUUAGCUCAAUUCAUAUAUUUUUCUAUCCAAAAAAUAAAACACACUUGAAAUUUUAUUUUCCAAACUCUUUUCUUCUUCCUCUUCAAUAUUUUUUAUUUUUUCUUCUAUUAUUUAUCCGCCGCAUCACACGGGUUACUACACUAGUAUGAAUAAUGACACAAAAUCAAGAAAAAUAAUGACACAAAAUCAAA
rnacentral:lncRNA from 1 species